rnacentral:rRNA from 1 species
UACGUAGGGAGCAAGCGUUAUCCGGAAUUAUUGGGUGUAAAGGGUGCGUAGACGGGAGUCUAAGUUAGUUGUGAAAUCCCUCGGCUUAACUGAGGAACUGCAACUAAAACUGGAUUUCUUGAGUGCAGGAGAGGAAAGCGGAAUUCCUAGUGUAGCGGUGAAAUGCGUAGAUAUUAGGAGGAACACCAGUGGCGAAGGCGGCUUUCUGGACUGUAACUGACGUUGAGGCACGAAAGUGUGGGGAGCAAACAGGAUUAGAUACCCUGGUAGUCCCUGAG